CCGAGGCUUAAAGCAAGGCAAUCUGAUUCUUAAGUGCCCUCUCAUAAGCCUUACAGCAUUCUUCACCCUCAGGCGUGCCCCAUGCCAAGGAGCGAUCACAGCAAAUUCUGACCAUCACAGUUUGGUAACGUCAGCACACCUGGAGCAAUAACAGAGAAAAGGCAGGUCCACAUUGUGCCAGAACCAGCCCUUCUAUGAGUCAGUCUAGUUAUUGCUGUUGAGCCAGGAGGCCCACUCUAGACUGCUUUCCCUCCUGUGGAUUUCCCUCUUGGGCUGUCUUCACUUUCUUCUCCUACCAGUAGACUUCAGUUGACACUAUCUGAAUCCAGAAGAGGAUCUGAAGAUGUUGAAUAUCAAAAGAGAUGGGAGAGUGGUGGAGUUGGCACUGUUUCCUCCCACGAGGCUUCUUGCUGCCUAUAAAAAUUUCCUCAUUUUUCCCACAAUGAUCAGAUCUACACAACAAGUUGUUAUUUGGAGAGGCUGCCUUUGUCAAGCCACGAAAAGAGCCUAUUGCUCUUCUCCCAGGGCAGCCAGGCCCAAUUGCCCAACAGUCACAUAAUUGAGAGGAGUCUUCCCAGCAACUCCUUCAGAAUGAGUUCUGUUACAAGGCAACUCGCCAUAUCCACCUAGACAGACAUAUUGCAGCAGAUUUUAGAAGGUAUCUUCUCCUGAAUAAAAGAAAAAAAACAUUAAUAUUACAGCUAGACACCGCACUAUGCAAGGGCUUCACAGAAGAAAAUUCAGUGGAGACAAGUUUUAAAGUUAGCCUGAUAUCUAUCUAAUUUAAUCAUGGUUCUGCCAUUUACUAGCUGUGUGUGCUCAGACAAGUAACUUAAUCACUCUGAGCGCAUCUAAUGGCUCAGUUAGGAGGUCUCUAUGGCUUUAAAUAAUAAAGAACUGAAAAAUAAUUGCUUAAGCAAAUGAGAGUUUUUAUUUUCCUUCCUUAAGGAGAAGUCCGAAAGUUGGCAAUUGCUGACUUUGGUUCAAUAGCUCAAGAUGGCAGAGGUAAGGACUCUGCAAUUCUCUAGGCAUUUCUGUCAUAGUCACAAGAUGGCAGUUGCAGAUCUAGCUGGCAUAUCCCAUUUCAAGCAGAAGGAAGGAGGAAAGAAUGGGAAGAAGGACGUCUCAGCGC
rnacentral:lncRNA from 1 species